rnacentral:rRNA from 1 species
CUGGCCGAAGCAAAAGGAAUAGCGCCCCCUUUUGGGGACAUUACAUGAGAUAAAAACCAUAGUUUUCACUACCAGAGGAGAGCCUGCGCGCUCUUCCUCAAGUUUUGUCCUUAUCAAACCUCUGCUACUAAUCACUUUUGUAACUCUCCCUUCUGCUAAAUCAAUAAAAAGCCAGGCUAGUGGAUCUUUCAGAAAAAAACUGAUCAUGAAUGUGCAAGGGAUUCAAUUUUGCUGGCUUACUCGGUACUCCACGAAAAUUACACUGUAUCUGACUUAAGGUUUUGAUACACCAAUAGUAUAGGAUCAUUACAGAAUAACUUGAGAGAACAAACGUACAACCAUCAGUACUCUUAAUGCUUCAUAAGCAUGUGGAAGCUACGUAUCAGACUGAGCAGACUACCUGAAAGAAAAUACAAUUUCUUUCUGCUUCUCAAAUGAGUUAGCCAUUACUAUGGAUUAUUAUUGAUGUAGGGCGACGCAGACGGCGGGCUUGGGGCCACGCCGCCCCCUCGGCUCCCGAGCAUCCUCCGGCCUUGCACGCCGCCGGCGCCCAGGGCGAGGAGCACCGCAGCGACAAGCACUACAACCAGCACAAAUACUCUCAUCGCGCACAUGACACUAGCUACAAGCACUACCAUAUAGCUAGCUCCAUUU